GCCGGCUAACUACGUGCCAGCAGCCGCGGUAAUACNUAGGGCGCAAGCGUUGUCCGGAAUUAUUGGGCGUAAAGAGCUCGUAGGCGGUUUGUCGCGUCUGCUGUGAAAACCUAAGGCUCAACCUUGGGCUUGCAGUGGGUACGGGCAGACUAGAGUGCGGUAGGGGUGACUGGAAUUCCUGGUGUAGCGGUGGAAUGCGCAGAUAUCAGGAGGAACACCGAUGGCGAAGGCAGGUCACUGGGCCGCAACUGACGCUGAGGAGCGAAAGCAUGGGGAGCGAACAGGAUUAGAUACCCUGGUAGUCCAUGCCGUAAACGUUGGGCACUAGGUGUGGGGCUCAUUCCACGAGUUCCGUGCCGCAGCAAACGCAUUAAGUGCCCCGCCUGGGGAGUACGGCCGCAAGCUAAAACUCAAAGAAAUUGACGGGGGCCCGCACAAGCGGCGGAGCAUGCGGAUUAAUUCGAUGCAACGCGAAGAACCUUACCAAGGCUUGACAUACACCGGAAACUUCCAGAGAUGGUUGC
rnacentral:rRNA from 1 species